AGCAGCCGCGGUAAUUCCAGCUCCAAUAGCGUAUAUUAAAGUUGUUGCAGUUAAAAAGCUCGUAGUUGAAUUUCGGGACUAAUAUGUCGGUCGUGCCUCGGUACGAACUGGUUUUAUUGGUUUCUCCUUUCUGAAGAACCAUGAUGUCAUUUAUUUGGUGUCGUGGGGAAUCAGGACUGUUACUUUGAAAAAAUUAGAGUGUUUAGAGCAGGCUCACGCUUGAAUACAUUAGCAUGGAAUAAUGAAAUAGGACGUUUGAUCCUAUUUUGUUGGUUUCUAGGAUCGACGUAAUGAUUAAUAGGGAUAGUUGGGGGCAUUAGUAUUCAAUUGUCACGAGGUGAAAUUCUUGGAUUUAUUGAAGACUAACUACUGCGAAAGCAUUUGCCAAGGAUGUUUUCAUUAAUCAAGA
rnacentral:rRNA from 1 species